GAUGAACGCUGGCGGUAUGCUUAACACAUGCAAGUCGAACGGACUCUUCGGAGUUAGUGGCGGACGGGUGAGUAACGCGUGAGAAUCUGGCUUUGGGUUCGGGACAACCACUGGAAACGGUGGCUAAUACCGGAUGUGCCGAGAGGUAAAAGAGAAAUUGCCUGAAGAUGAGCUCGCGUCUGAUUAGCUAGUUGGUGAGGUAAAGGCUCACCAAGGCAGCGAUCAGUAGCUGGUCUGAGAGGAUGACCAGCCACACUGGGACUGAGACACGGCCCAGACUCCUACGGGAGGCAGCAGUGGGGAAUUUUCCGCAAUGGGCGAAAGCCUGACGGAGCAAUACCGCGUGAGGGAAGAAGGCUCUUGGGUUGUAAACCUCUUUUCUUAGGGAAGAACAAAAUAACGGUACCUAAGGAAUCAGCAUCGGCUAACUCCGUG
rnacentral:rRNA from 1 species